GGGGCCAUAGCUCAGCCGGGAGAGCGCCUGCUUUGCAAGCAGAGGGUCGUCGGUUCGACCCCGACUGGUUCCACCA
rnacentral:tRNA from 1 species